rnacentral:rRNA from 1 species
CUAACAAGGAUUCCCCUAGUAACUGCGAGUGAAGCGGGAAAAGCUCAAAUUUGAAAUCUGGCAGUCUUUUUUUUCUUCUUUGGCUGUCUGAGUUGUAAUCUAGAGAAGUGCUUACCUGCGCUGGACCAUGUAUAAGUCUCCUGGAAUGGAGCCUCACAGAGGGUGAGAAUCCCGUCUUUGACAUGGACUGCCAGUGUGUUGUGGUGUGCUCUCAAAGAGUCGAGUUGUUUGGGAAUGCAGCUCUAAAUGGGUGGUAAACUCCAUCUAAAGCUAAAUAUUGGCGAGAGACCGAUAGCGAACAAGUACCGUGAGGGAAAGAUGAAAAGGACUUUGGAAAGAGAGUUAAACAGUAUGUGAAAUUGUUGAAAGGGAAACACUUGAAGUCAGUUAUGUCAGCUAGGGAUCAACCCAGCUGUUUUGCUGGGUGAUUUUCCUAGUCUUGACAGGCCAACAUCAGUCUUGGCUGCUGGAAAAGAGCAGAGGGAAUGUGGCACCUUUGGGUGUGUUUAUAGCCCUUUGUCAUAUGUGGCAGUUGGGACUGAGGGAUGCAGCAUGCCGCGAGGCCAGGUUUUUUUUUGACCAUGUUUCAUGCUUAGGAUGUUGGCUUUUAAUGGCUUCAAUUGACCCGUCUUGAAACACGGACCAAGGAGUCUAACAUGCCUGUGAGUGUUUGGGUGGGGAAAACCCUUGCGCACAAUGAAAGUGAAAGUUGAGAUCCCUGUCAUGGGGAGCAUCGACGCCCGGACCUGAGCUUUUUAGCGAUGGAUCUGCGGUAGAGCAUGCAUGUUGGGACCCGAAAGAUGGUGAACUAUGCCUGAAUAGGGCAAAGCCAGAGGAAACUCUGGUGGAGGCUCGUAGCGAUUCUGACGUGCAAAUCGAUCGUCAAAUUUGGGUAUAGGGGCGAAAGACUAAUCG